CACGUAGGGGGCAAGCGUUGUCCGGAAUCAUUGGGCGUAAAGAGCUCGUAGGCGGCUCAAUAAGUCGGGUGUGAAACCCCCAGGCUCAACCUGGGAACGCCACCCGAUACUGUUGUGGCUAGAGUCCAGUAGGGGAGUGUGGAAUUCCCGGUGUAGCGGUGAAAUGCGCAGAUAUCGGGAGGAACACCAGCGGCGAAGGCGGCACUCUGGGCUGGUACUGACGCUGAGGAGCGAAAAGCGUGGGUAGCAAACAGG
rnacentral:rRNA from 1 species